UUUAGCAGAGAGAAGCAGAGAGACGUGAGCAGAGUGAGAGAGAAGCAACAAGUGACCGCUGGUCUUUUCCUUGAAGAAAUCAAUUUAUUUGAAUUAUUUUGAAGUUAUGGUGGAAACUGGAGCUGGACUGGUAAACAGAGAAAGGACAGAAGAGCAAAAGAAAGCAAACAGGAGAGUGACAGAGCCCAGUCUGAAGCACUUCAGGAUAGCUUCUCAGAGAUGGAGAGAACUAAAGGAGUUAAAAUGACUGAAAACAGAUGCUGGGUGGAUCCUCUUCCUUGAAACGGAUAAUGUGGCAUCGUGUCCUCCUCCAUGUCAGAGACCAGCACCGCUGCUCUUUUGGAAGCUGUGACCACGGGCCACUUGAUGAGAGCAGCAGAGAUAAGCCAUGGAUGGUGUGAGGCUCUCCAUCACAUCAGGCUUGUGCAUCCAUCAUCCCUGAUAAACGCUGACUGAAGGAUGUGGAGAAGUUUACCAACUUUCAAGAGAAAUCCUUGGAAGAUGGUUGAAAUCUGGGAAGAGACUUCCCAAAACAAGAACACUAAGACCUGAUGACCAAAGGGGACUUGGACAGAACUAGCACAAGACCGCAUCCAAUGCAGAUAAAUGUGUACACAUAACCUGCCUGUAUGAAAAGUGUUAAGUUGUAUCAUCAUACACCGUGUAACAGAUAUGUGAAUAAUGUGAAG